GACCUAGUGGUGAAAUGAAUCAUGCCUGCAACCUAUUGUAAUGCAGUUGUAAACUUCAUGUGAAAGCAGGAGUCCCUGGUUCGAGUCCGGGCUGGGUCA